UCCGAGUCAAAGCUUCAAUUUCAUUUUUCAAUUGGAGGUAGUCCUAGAUAUCAUGGUGGUGAUCUCAAUAGAAGUGACAGUACUUCCUUUUAUUCCUCCUUAUGGAUGGAGUCUUUGUCGGUGAAGGUCAGCAGAGAUAUCGUUGGCCUUUGAUCUCCAUCCAGAUUAGGGUUCAAUGAGCAGUCAGAAGAGCAUAAUUGCUAAAUCACCUAUAGAGACUCCUCGACCUAAGACUCUUUGUUGGUUGGGAGGAUUCUUCUUCAGCAUAGAUUACAUGCAGAUCCCCCCAUCUCUGCUUUUUGUUGGAAGUCCUCCUCCUUUAGCAUACUUACACAUAAUUUGGGCCUCUUCUACCUAUGCAUACUUUUGAGCCCGUGCUAGGAGAUCGGUAUAGUCCUUCGAAAAAAUUUUAUCGAGGAAGAAGAUGAGAUGCUCAUUUCGAAGUCCUCUCUUAAGGACCGACAUCGCCACCGACUAAUCAAAAUUGGGCAUCUCC
rnacentral:lncRNA from 1 species